CAAAAAGGAAAUGCAGGAUCCAACAAUGUUCCCUUUUCCUGUUAAUAAGAGUGUAGAGCCCUAGUGCAUUAAGUUUCCACUGUCCAGGUCCAGAGAGGGGACCAUAUCUUUUUGAUGAAGUGUUCUAUAAAUCACAAAGGCAUCAAGUAGAUGCAUAGUCACAAAAUAGGAGGAAAUAUCACCUAAAAAGAUAACAAAAACCCAACAAGGAGACCAUAUUCGAUCUACUGUACACAACAUUAUAUUGCAUUCCCACAA
rnacentral:misc_RNA from 1 species